rnacentral:rRNA from 1 species
UACGUAGGGUGCGAGCGUUAAUCGGAAUUACUGGGCGUAAAGCGUGCGCAGGCGGUUUUGUAAGCCAGAUGUGAAAUCCCCGGGCUUAACCUGGGAAUGGCAUUUGGGACUGCAAGGCUGGAGUGCGGAAGAGGAGACUGGAAUUCCUGGUGUAGCAGUGAAAUGCGUAGAUAUCAGGAGGAACACCGAUGGCGAAGGCAGCUCGCUGGGACGUGACUGACGCUGAGACGCGAAAGCGUGGGGAGCAAACAGG